GUCGGGAUAGCUCAGCUGGU
rnacentral:tRNA from 28 species